UCCGGUUCCAGGCCCUGAAGGGAAGGGCGGCCCCGCCCUCGGGGAUCGGCCCAGCCCACGGUCCCUAAAAAGGACGUUUUAACCCCAAAAGCAGCGGCACUGCGGGGAACGGCCAGGUCCAUGCUUUCCCAAAAGUUUCACAGCCUUUCCAGUUGAACCUUCGCUCUGUCUAGCUCCAAGAAGAAAUGGAUAUGGGCAAUGAAGUCAAGCAUCAACUGGAUUCCACUGUAUUAGACUGAUUUAAAUCUGUUAUAGCUUAAGUAGCACAACUCCAGUCCAGAAAAACUAAAAGUGACAGCUGUGAUUAAUUCAAGGUAUCAGCUUGGGCUCAUAACACAAGCAGUCAACUUAUGAAAGACUGUAAUAAAAUAACCUACAUUCUACCUAAAGACAAGGCAGACUUAACAAUGUGUGUUUUCAGUUGCAACUUGUUUUAUUUCAUUAGUUCAACAACAGACAUUAUCUAAUGGUAACUGUUCACCCAGGCAGUCCUGCAAGUGUGCCAUAUUUGACUGUGGUGUCGAAGCCAGAACAUUUAACAUCACAUUCUGAUAUUCAGUGUUAUUUACCUGACAUCUUCACCUUCCUCCAAUAUAGACAAACAGAUGGUACACUUUUCCUCUGUGUCUUCUUCUGUUCCUUCCUCUGCAUCUUGUUUGCAGUGCAGUUUCCUCUGUGAGAACCAAUCAGUUGUUACCUUAUUAGUAGAGAUGACAUUAUUGACAAACUGAGUAAAAUCUGUUUUUGAUACAUAUUCAACACAUAUUUCUUUGAAAACAUUUUGAAAUAUUUAUUCACAUGUAUUUGAACCAAAAUGAAUCAAGAACCAGCAUUUGGAGCAAAACUUAGACAUUUGAGACUUAACUACUGUUAAUUAUAGAAGUCUGCAGGACUGUGAAUAUAUUAAUUUCAUAUGGCUGCAACCAGUUCUUUUACUUACUGUCUAUGUAUAAAUCUCUUAAUUUCAUUCAUGUAGAGAGAAAAAAAAAAAAUCCUUUCAAGCCUGGUAUCUUAAGCCACUAUUUAUCAAGUGUGAAAGAACAAUGUCAGUGUGAAUGGGAUUCGAUAUUAUCAUAUACUAAACUCCAAUUGAGAGACAAUCUCAAUUCUCAAAAUUGUGUACCAGAUUCAAACCUUCCCACUGUCCCAGUAAUGUAAUCAGAGCAAGGGUUAAAUUGAUACAUACCAAGCAGGUACAGGAAAAAUUUAUUGCAAAAAAUAAAGUCUUAACGUAUUUUAUGUGUUCUCAUUGAAGUCUGUUGACAAUUUUGCUAUUACCAGUCAUUAUUUCGUUGCUCACAAGGGUUCUCAUAACUGCUGGACAAGUUAAUCACAUCAAACCGCUUUUGUUUAUCACAUCACAGCAGCUCUUUAUCUAAGGAACAAAUUUUAAAUUUUCCUUGGGAAAGAAGUGGCAUUGCAAGCUUUGCUUACAAUCCUUGAAACUUCAAGAUAGAGAGAACAUGCACUCCCUGAAGCUGACAUUUCUGCAGGUUUAAGCUAACCAAAACCAUUAUUACAUGCUCAAAGAACUAUUAGAGACAGGCCACAGUUUGAGAAAUCCUCACCUUUUUGUAUUUAUGUGGAUAUGUGCAUCUUUCUAUAGUUCCCUGUGUUGCUCCACGAUUAACGUUGCCUAAUCGUUCCUCCAAGUGAAUCAGCUCCUAAAAAUCAUGAAGGAAUAAACAGUGUAAAAACUACUAGUUCAACUACCUUGAGUAAAUACUAAAUUUUAUUUUAACCCAUUUCCAAUUUUAGAAUGACAAACUCUUAUUUCCCAACUUACUCAAAUACAGGCAAAGCCAAAAAAAGCAAGUUGUGUGGGAAAAGUGAUGGGCUUCUGUAGAAAAAACCCCACAACACUGCCUGGUAUUUCAAGUUAUAGGGAAAUGCUAUUUUACUACUAAAAAAAUUGGAAUUUUUUUGUCAGCUAGGAAUGGUUAUCAGUAUGUUCACAUGUACUUGUGUCUAAUGAGGAAAAUGCAAUUAAAAUACACUAUGUAAAUAUUUAGUUUCUAACAGUCAUUAAGGCUUAGAAGAAUAAAAAAGUUGCUUAAGUUGAAAUAUAAUGACUGAUUUAUUUUUCUCCAGCAAUGAGUUUAUUGGAAGCAUGAGAUGUCACUGAAGAGGUUUUCAGUGGACUAGGUCAUUAACUCUCUGCAUCUGAUACCUUUUGUUUUCUCCUGUUUUAUUUUCUUCACUCCACUUCAGCUCCUGCACUACGUAACAGGACAGCACUGUUACAGUGGCCAAGUUUCAGCCCUGUUAGGAGGAUCCUGGCACAGUUGUUCAGAGACACCACUACCUUCUACCAGUAUAUCAUGUGAAUACUCCAUCCUACUACUGGGUGGAGGGCAGAGCAAGAUGUCCUGUCAGUUAAUAACCACCUAAGCCUGCCUUAACCUCUGACUGACCCGCUGUUCAAGGUGCUUUUGUUCCAGUUCACCGUGGUGAGGGCAUUCCCGAAAUAAAGACUAUUUUCUUUAUGA